GCCCCUAUGGUCUAGUGGUACGAUACCCCCUUCGGGCCUUUCGAGGGUUCGCCAGUUUCUGGCAUCAUUGGGGGUGGUCCUGAGUUCGAAUCUUGGUGGGGGCC